AUUGAACGCUGGCGGCAGGCCUAACACAUGCAAGUCGAACGAGUGGCGGACGGGUGAGUAAUGUCUGGGAAACUGCCCGAUAGAGGGGGAUAACAACUGGAAACGGUAGCUAAUACCGCAUACUAUCGGAUAAACCCCUAUGGGAUUAGCUAGUUGGUGAAGUAAUGGCUCACCUAGGCGACGAUCUCUAGCUGGUCUGAGAGGAUGAUCAGCCACAUUGGGACAGAGACACGGCCCAGACUCCUACGUGAGGCAGCAGUGGGGAAUAUUGCACAAUGGGCGAAAGCCGGAUGCAGCCAUGCCGCGUGUAUGAAGAAGGCCUUAGGGUUGUAAAGUACUUUCAGCGGGGAGGCGUUACCCGCAGAAGAAGCACCGGCUAACUACGUGCCAGCCGCCGCGGUAAUAC
rnacentral:rRNA from 1 species